GCCCUGGUGGCGAAACUGGUAGACGCAAGGGACUUAAAAUCCCUCGAGGCCAAACCCCUCAUGCCGGUUCGACUCCGGCCCAGGGCA
rnacentral:tRNA from 1 species